GUUGUUUAGGGCCUUGGUUUGGGCCCUACGUCUCUUUAGUGUCUAUGGUCUGUUUAUUAUUCACUCAGGUUGUGUGUAGUUUUUCUUACUCCAUGGGUCUCCAGACUUGCUUGUGACCUGAAGACUGAGUUCUUAGCUAAACUCCAGACUUGUCCCAUGUUCUGGAAGCUGUGUUAUUACCUGGCCUUGUGCCUGAAUGCAGAUGGUGCCCCUGGGCCUGUUCUGUUUACCCUGUGUGUGUACAGUGGGGCUGGGUGCUGGCUGGUGGGGUCCUUGUCCUGCUGGCUGUUGUGUGAGGCUCCCUGUCUCGCAGAGAGCAGCUGCAGCUGCCACAUGUUCACCACAGACUCAAACUUUGCCAGAGCUGCCUGCAAUGCAGAGCUGCUUACAGUGAUCCCUGACACUCCACUUGAGCACACAGAACAGCUUCGCUGCAGCACCUGUCACAGUACCAGGAUCUCUGUUUUGAAUGGCUGAGUACCUUACUGCUGCCAGAGAAGAUUGUGAUCUGGUGCUGCUUGCUGCCCAGGAUGGAAGACCUGAGACCAUGAGCACAUUAAGUCUGUGGGUGUGAAAAUUAAUAAUUGUUAGUUCUUGUUUGCUUCCUAGCCUUUAGCAUGUCUUUAUUGGAGCUGUGGUUGUGCAUGUUGAUGUUUGGGUGCUCCUGUUAACCUGCUUAUUCUAAAUAAACCUUAGCCCUCUUUGUUUGUUGCUUUC